CAAUAGCGUAUAUUAAAGUUGUUGCGGUUAAAAAGCUCGUAGUUGAAUUUCUGCUGAGAACGACCGGUCCGCCCUUUGGGUGUGUAUCUGGCUCUUUCUUGGCAUCUUCUUGGUGAACGUUGCUGCACUUGACUGUGUGGAGCGCUACCCAGGACUUUUACUUUGAGGAAAUUAGAGUGUUUCAAGCAGGCAUACGCCUUGAAUACAUUAGCAUGGAAUAAUAAGAUAGGACCUCGGUUCUAUUUUGUUGGUUUCUAGAGCUGAGGUAAUGAUUAAUAGGGAUAGUUGGGGGCAUUCGUAUUUAACUGUCAGAGGUGAAAUUCUUGGAUUUGUUAAAGACGGACUGCUGCGAAAGCAUUUGCCAAGGAUGUUUNCAUUG
rnacentral:rRNA from 1 species